rnacentral:rRNA from 1 species
AUUGAACGCUGGCGGCAGGCCUAACACAUGCAAGUCGAGCGGAUGAAGGGAGCUUGCUCCUGGAUUCAGCGGCGGACGGGUGAGUAAUGCCUAGGAAUCUGCCUGGUAGUGGGGGAUAACGUCCGGAAACGGGCGCUAAUACCGCAUACGUCCUGAGGGAGAAAGUGGGGGAUCUUCGGACCUCACGCUAUCAGAUGAGCCUAGGUCGGAUUAGCUAGUUGGUGGGGUAAAGGCCUACCAAGGCGACGAUCCGUAACUGGUCUGAGAGGAUGAUCAGUCACACUGGAACUGAGACGCGGUCCAGACUCCUGCGGGAGGCAGCAGUGGGGAAUAUUGGACAAUGGGCGAAAGCCUGAUCCAGCCAUGCCGCGUGUGUGAAGAAGGUCUUCGGAUUGUAAAGCACUUUAAGUUGGGGGGAAGGGCAGUAAGUUAAUACCUUGCUGCUUUGACGUUACCAACAGAAUAAGCACCGGCUAACUUCGUG